GAGUGAGGAAUCACCUCCUGAAGUUUACUCAUGUAUUCAAAACUUUCAUAACUUUAUAUUAUGUUUUGCAUCUCAAUCUUUUAUCCAAUGUGCAGACUUUGAGAAGAUAGAUAUCAGCCGAGUGGAUAAGGCUGGCCACAUUGAGGAUCAAGAGACAAAAAUAAGUUUUGGUUGAUGUAGGUACUUUGAUUACAUUAAAAAUUUUCAAUAAUUCUAUGAUCUUUCAUUUAACAAACACCCAAUUUUUAAAUUAUUAAAUCCUGUUUUACUAUUCAUAAAUUAUUUGUAAUAUUUCAAAUGUGGUGCAUACCAAACGUAGUAAUCUGGUUUUUGUUGAAUUUUCUAGGUUCAAAAUAAUAAUAUUGUUGACUAAAAAAUAUCUUUCUAGCAAAAAAUGAAAGAUGGAGUUUAAAUAUAUAUUUUUGGAAUGCACCUUAAUUCAUAAGUAUCUCUUUUCAUGUAAUUUAUAAGUGAUAUAUCAUUUAUUAAUUGAUGUUGGCUAGAUACCAGCAGUUUUAGUUUCAAUUGGUAUUGUGUAUCAUUUGUUAUAUUUUUGUUUGGAAGGUAUUGAAAAAAAUUCCAACAAAUUCACUAAAACAUAAUUUGUGUGGUGUCGGCAUAUUUAGAUUUUUUAUAUGUAGUUUGAUUAGUUUUUC